rnacentral:rRNA from 1 species
GAUGAACGCUGGCGGCGUGCCUAAUACAUGCAAGUCGAGCGAACGGACGAGAAGCUUUCUUCUCUGAUUUUAUCGGCGGACGGGUGAUUAACACGUGGAUAACCUACCUGUAAGACUGGGAUAACUUCGGGAAACCGUAGCUAAUACCGGAUAAUAUAUUGACCCGCAUUGUUCAAAAGUAAAAGACGCUCUUGCUGUCACUUAUAGAUUGAUCCGCGCUGCAUUAGCUAGUUGGUAAGGUAACUGCUUACCAAGGCAACGAUGCAUAGGCGACCUGAAAGCGUGGUUGGCCAGCUGGGCAGUGAGAAACGGCCGAGACUCCUACGGGAGGAAGCAGUAGGGACUCCUACGCAAUGGGGGAGAGCCUGACGGAGCAACGCCGGGGGAGUGAUGAAGCUCUAAGGAUCGUAGAACUAUGUUAUUAGGGAAGAAGAAAUGCGUAAGUACCUGUGAACAUCUUGACGGUACCGAAUCAGAAAGCCACGGCUAACUCCGUG